GACGAACGCUGGCGGCGUGCUUAACACAUGCAAGUCGAAUGAGAGGCGGAUGGGCGAGUAACACGUGGGAACCUACCCAUCAGUGGGGGAUAACACUUUGAAACAGGAGCUAAUAGCGCAUACUGAGGGAUCGACCCGUGGUGUAUUAGUGAGUUGGUGAGGUAACGGCUCACCAAGGACACGAUGCAUAGCCGGCCUGAGAGGGUGGUCGGCCACACUGGGACUGAGACACGGCCCAGGCUCCUACGGGAGGCAGCAGUGGGGAAUUUUGGACAAUGGGCGCAAGCCUGAUCCAGCCAUGCCGCGUGUCUGAAGAAGGCCUUCGGGUUGUAAAGGACUUUUGUCAGGGAAGCGGUACCUGAAGAUUAAGCACCGGCUAACUACGUGCCAGCAGCCGCGGUAAUUC
rnacentral:rRNA from 1 species